GUGGGGUAAUGGCCUACCAAGGCGACGACGGGUAGCCGGCCUGAGAGGGCGACCGGCCACACUGGGACUGAGACACGGCCCAGACUCCUACGGGAGGCAGCAGUGGGGAAUAUUGCACAAUGGGCGAAAGCCUGAUGCAGCGACGCCGCGUGAGGGAUGACGGCCUUCGGGUUGUAAACCUCUUUCAGCAGGGAAGAAGCGCAAGUGACGGUACCUGCAGAAGAAGCGCCGGCUAACUACGUGCCAGCAGCCGCGGUAAUACGUAGGGCGCAAGCGUUGUCCGGAAUUAUUGGGCGUAAAGAGCUCGUAGGCGGCUUGUCACGUCGGAUGUGAAAGCCCGGGGCUUAACCCCGGGUCUGCAUUCGAUACGGGCUAGCUAGAGUGUGGUAGGGGAGAUCGGAAUUCCUGGUGUAGCGGUGAAAUGCGCAGAUAUCAGGAGGAACACCGGUGGCGAAGGCGGAUCUCUGGGCCAUUACUGACGCUGAGGAGCGAAAGCGUGGGGAGCGAACAGGAUUAGAUACCCUGGUAGUCCACGCCGUAAACGUUGGGAACUAGGUGUUGGCGACAUUCCACGUCGUCGGUGCCGCAGCUAACGCAUUAAGUUC
rnacentral:rRNA from 1 species